GCAGCAGCGGAGGAGCAGCGCUUGGGCGGGCACGGGCUGCCGGGUGUGGCCGCUGGCAGGGCCGGCCUGCGCCUGGGCGGUCGUGCGCGGGGAUGGGCGACUACCUGCGCAGAGGAGCGCCACGGGGCGGGAGCGGGGCUGGGCGGCCGCGCGCGCUUGGGCUGCACCGCAGGCCUCCUCCGCCGCGCGCUGGGAGGAGCGGCGGCGGGCGCCGAGCUAGCCGCGUGCCUCUUCCACCGUGCGCUGCCGCGAGCGUCGGGCCACGCUGCGCGCUGAGAGGGCGGCCGCAGUUGCCUGGCCGCCUGCUGAGAAGUCUGGCUGUGAGAGCCGUGCCGGCUGCGCGAGGGCCGGCCAUCGGCGGGAGGAGCGGCGGCUGUUUUUGUCCUCCGGUUUUUACUCCUCCGGCCACUCCGGCUGCCUGAAUGCAGAAUGUGUCUUCAGCUAUGCAAUCCUCAAAGAAUGUUCAAUCUGAAUGACAUUGCAGUAGGCACGAACAUUAGUACGGCCAGUUAAGUCAAUUUCGAUACCUAAAGAAGCUAACUGCAUCUUGAGUUAAUGAGAUUGAAGGAUUCAUUCAUGGUGGAGCAGCUCAACUCUGGUUACCCUGUCUUGAAAGCUUGGUUUUGUCCUAUUGAUAAGUUGGUCCAUCAGAAUAUCCAUUGAUGAUGCUCUUAAGAUCCUGAAAGUACCAUUUAUAUCCAUUUCGAACCCAAACCAUGGGAAAGAUUUGUCCAAUAAGUUUAUUUCAUGUGUUUAAUUGAUCAGUGAAGCAUUAACAUAUAAAUGAUAAAGUCUGCUUAUCCUUUGCUAAUUAGUAGCACCACUGUUUGCUUAUCCAAAGUAGUUUCAGAAAGUUAUAUAUUAAUGGCUCAAGUUCUCAAAUGAAGGGGAAAAUAUGUUUACAUGUCAUUCAAUGAGCAUGAACAAUGCCUGUCUAUCAUUUGUGUAUUUUGCAUCUCCUUUUCCCCAUUCUAUGUUCCUGCAUACCAUUGGUACUGUCUUCCAGUUUAGUGAGAAAUAAAUUAUACUUUCUGUGGAUUUUCUAAAUUUACUGAUGAAUUUCGACAAUGUUCCUAGGAAAGGCAAAACAUGGAAUGACAACAGCUGAGGAACCAAGGAGCCCUAUUAAAACAUGUGCUCCCAGUUCUGAUUAAAUUUAUGCUUAGAACUUAGAAAUUGAAUCAGCCUUUUGGAAUUAGCUUCUUCAUUCCAGUUCGGACAAUGAUUAAGCACAAAAGCAAAAGAGAAUAUUGCCAAAAUUUGCCACAGCAUUUUGCAGACUUCGAGGUGCUACGAAAAAUAUGGACACAACCUUUGCUGUCGGAGAUAAAUUGGUUCUGGGGAAGAGAAUAUACGUAUCUAAGCAAGCAGGACCCCCUUCUGAUCCACGGCAAUAGAUAUAUGAGUGAGCAGAGAUGGGUGGUACCUCUACGCGCGCAGGGGCGAAGGCCAAACACUGGUUACGAAGGAGAGACGGAGCGUCCGGGCGCUAGUUUUUCAAAAAAAAAAAAUCAUGCCUCCGAGCUCCACGGACCCAUCGAGCCGGCCGCGCGGGCAAGCUCGUGCUGGCCGCACGACCAAGCUUCGUCAAGCUCCAUCAGCUGUGCUGAGCCAGCCGCGCAUACAAGCUCUGCUGACUGCGCUGAGCUGGCCGCGGGUGCGUGGCCGAGCUCCUCUGACCGCGCCGACCUGGCCGCAGGAGCGAGCUCCGCCGUCCGCAUCGUACUGCUUCGAGCCAGCCAUGCGGACGAGCUCCACCAGAUGCACUGAGCUGACCGUGCGUAUGAGCUCCACCAACCGCAUUGGAGCUGGUUGCACGGGCGAGCUCCGCUGGAUUCACGGAGCCAGCCACGCCGACGAGCUCCAUGAGCCAGACGCAUAGGCAGGCUCUACCGACCGCACCGAGCUUCGUCGAGCUCCACCGGAUGCACUGAGCUGGCCGCGCGUAUGAGCUCCGCCGCCUCCGCCGACCUAGCCGUGCAGGUCAGCUCGACGAACCGGCCGCCCCGUGCAGGCGAGCGACAAGCAGGCCGCAUAGGCAAGCUCCAUCGACCGCUUCGAGCUAGUCCCACGGGCGAGCUUCGUCGAGCUCCACUGGAUGCACUGAGCCGGGUGCGCAUAUGAGCUCCGCUGCCUGCGCCGAGCUAGCCGCGCAGGCGAGCUCGACGAGCCGGCUUCCCCCAUGCAGGCUCGCUCGACAGGCCGGCAGCAUGGGCAAGCUCCAUCGACCGCGCCGAGCCAGCCGCACAAGGGAGCUUCGUCGAGCUCCGCCGGAUGCACUGGGCUGGCCGCACGUACGAGCUCCGCUGCCUGCGGUGAGCUGGCCACGCCGCACGGUCGAGCUCCGCCGGAUGCACUGAGCCGACCGGACAGGCGAGCUCCAGUGACCGCGCGGAGCCGGCCGCAUGGGCGAGGUCCCCUGGCCGCACCCAGCCGGCCGCGCGCAGGCUCGGGUGGUUUGCCGAUAGUGAGGAGAUGCCGAGGAGUGAGAAUUUGAUAAAUAUUUGAUUGCGGUUCGUAACUGAUUCAC